GCAUAUCAAUAAGCGGAGGAAAAGAAACCAACAGGGAUUGCCUCAGUAACGGCGAGUGAAGCGGCAACAGCUCAAAUUUGAAAUCUGGUCCCUUGCGGCCCGAGUUGUAAUUUGCAGAGGAUGCUUUUGGGCGCGGUGCCUUCCAAGUUCCCUGGAACGGGACGCCUUAGAGGGUGAGAGCCCCGUACGGUUGGACACCAAGCCUUUGUAAAGCUCCUUCGACGAGUCGAGUAGUUUGGGAAUGCUGCUCUAAAUGGGAGGUAUAUUUCUUCUAAAGCUAAAUACCGGCCAGAGACCGAUAGCGCACAAGUAGAGUGAUCGAAAGAUGAAAAGCACUUUGAAAAGAGGGUUAAACAGCACGUGAAAUUGUUAAAAGGGAAGCGCUUGUGACCAGACUUGCGCCCGGUGAAUCACCCAGCUCUCGCGGCUGGGGCACUUUGCCGGCUCAGGCCAGCAUCAGCUUGCCGUCGGGGACAAAAGCUUCGGGAACGUAGCUCUCUUCGGGGAGUGUUAUAGCCCGUUGCACAAUACCCUUCGGCGGGCUGAGGUACGCGCUCCGCAAGGAUGCUGGCAUAAUGGUCAUCAGCGACCCGUCUUGAAACACGGACCAAGGAGUCAACCUUAUGUGCGAGUGUUCGGGUGUCAAACCCCUACGCGUAAUGAAAGUGAACGCAGGUGAGAGCUUCGGCGCAUCAUCGACCGAUCCUGAUGUUCUCGGAUGGAUUUGAGUAAGAGCAUAUAGGGUUGGACCCGAAAGAAGGUGAACUAUGCGUGUAUAGGGUGAAGCCAGAGGAAACUCUGGUGGAGGCUCGCAGCGGUUCUGACGUGCAAAUCGAUCGUCAAAUAUGCGCAAUGGGGGCGAAAGACUAAUCGAACCUUCUAGUAGCUGGCAUCCGCCGAAG
rnacentral:rRNA from 1 species